rnacentral:snRNA from 8 species
AGAUAUGAGGGCGAUCUGACUGUGACAUCUGUCACUCUAUUGAUCACCAGGGUUGAUUCGGCUGAUCUAGCUAGCUAGGCAGGAGUCCCCUUCCUCCCUCACCACUCCAUGUGCUUCCCUCUUGAAGCUGUGCACUCGGUGAAAGGAUGCCAUCUUCAGUCAAGGGUAUACAAGUAGCUGCACUCCCCUGCUAGAACCUCCAAACAAGCUCUCAAGGUCCAUUUGUAAAAGAACAUAGGGUAGUCAAGCUUCCAAGACUCCAGACACAUCUGAAUGAGUUGCUGCAUGUGGCAGUCUGCCUUUCUUU